GGAGAGGCAUAUGAUAGACUCUGAUAUGGAUUCUCUAUUGUGCGAGGGGAAAUCAGAGAACAGCCAAGCUUCUGCUCUCUUUCCUUCUGCAUCGUGCAACAUGGCGCAUGGUGCUAGAUCAGUAACAGGCAGAGGGAGGGUCUAGAUGUAUAGCCUUGGGACAGCAUGCCCCUGGUCUACAGUCUGCACGUGAUAUGGAAAAGGCCCAGAUAUUCUAGCAUGACCAUGUGAGGGAAGAAAUAGGUGAGUAGAGAAUGAAAAGACAGAAUGACUAAAUAAAAUUAGGCAUGACUGCUAAGGGGUUACCCUAUGCUCGAGGUGUGGAGACCACUGCAAGGUCAACAGCCCCAACAAAAUGUCAAUAAGUCUCCGAGAAUCAAGGCUGCCAGAUAGCAUCAAAGUUCAGAGCCUCACUAGCAUAAGGAGUUUGCUGACUUUCAUGGAAACAGUCACUCAGCUCUGUCUACCCUGAGAGCACAGACCUUAGCUUUAGAAUCCACAGAUACUAGAGCAAACACAUGCAGCAAGGAGAGAGAAGGACACCAUGACCUCCCAGUUUUUUGUCAGUCAGAGUUAGCAGGGCUAGCAGAGGACAAAUUGUGGAUCAUAGCUGUCUUUUCCUUGUUCUCGCAAGAUUGAACGUCCCUAGAUACCAUCCUAAAAGCACUGAAGAGGUAAGAAGUCCAAAAUGAUUGACAGUUUACCCUUAAGAGUGUUUUGGCCGGGGACAGUUGCUCACGCCUGUAAUCCCAGCACUUUGGGAGGCUGAGGUGGGUGAAUCACGAGGUCAGGAGUUCAAGACCAGCCUGGCCAACAUGGUGAAACCCUGUCUCUACUAAAAAUGCAAAAAAAAAAAAAAAAAAAAAUAGCCAGGUGUGGUGAUGCAUGCUUGUAGUCCCAGCUACUCAGAAGGCUGAGGCAGGAGAAUUGCUUGAACCUGGGAAGCAGAGGUUGCAGUGAGCCAAGAUAGUGCCACUGCACUCCAGCCUGGGUGACAGAGCAAGACUCCGUCUCAAAAAAAAAAAAAGAGUGUUUUAACCUGAGAACCUUUAAAACCGCAAGAGACAAAGUUACUGUUCAUCAGGUUUUAGGGUUGUUUUAGGGAUUUUUUUUUUUUUUUUUUUAAUCAGCAUGAUGGAGGAUCGAGGGCAAGAUGAGGUCAAUUAUAGAACAUAACAAAUUACUGUUUUUGUACAACUUAAUUGGCGUGCGUAAAUGUUAACCUUGCUGUAGAAAUAUCUGUGUGCUAUUCAACCCCCUUCUUUCCUACGUUAUGCAAACUCUCUCAACACAGUGUAGAAUUUACUUUUUUCACUCUCCCUACUGGUAGUAAAGAUGAUAAUAUGUACAGAAAUUUAGCAGAUAUGAGUCAAAUACAAUCAAAAUGUUUCUUGGAACAUUAGGAGAAAUAGAAAGUAUUUACAUAUGAAUCAGGCAAGAGUGAAAAAGAAAAGCUUAUUCUCAAAGAAAAACUGCCACUUUGUAUGGUGGUCAACUGGCAUGGUUUAUUUUGACUACCAUCCUCCAUGUAUUUAAUGAAUGAGGCAAGCUCGUUGGCUUGUUACAAUAACAAAUUGGCAGUUAGACAUCAUCCUAAACAAUGUGCCAGCUUGAGAGGAUAAUUGACAAUGCCACACACUGUGAUCAUUUAUAACCCUGGGGUGUUCUUCUGAGACUUAUUUUUAGUUAUUUGAUGACACAUUUUUCCUGAUCCACAAUAUUUUGCUCUUUUCCCCCAACGUUCAUAUCUGACCAAACCACAAAAUGAAUGCUCGAUAAAUCAUCUCAUAUUCUUGCCACUUAAACAUCUUUUCUGCUUGUUUUCUUAAACUCUCCACUUGUUUGCUGCUCAGAUGUGCCUCUUAUUUUAAGAAGCUAAAGAGGCAAAUAGUUUUUAAUUGCCCUGCAAAUAUUUACAUCCUAUACAUCCUGUGAUUAUAGCAAUUACACUUAUCAGUUUUCCACCCCCUGCUAAAGUAACCACAACAUUAUCUUGAGGAAACCAUGAAAAAAAAAAAAAAAAA
rnacentral:lncRNA from 1 species